rnacentral:rRNA from 1 species
GGUGAACGCUGGCGGCGUGCCUAACACAUGCAAGUCGAGCGAACCCUUCGGGGUGAGCGGCGGACGGGUGAGUAACGCGUGGGUAACCUGCCCUGUACACACGGAUAACAUACCGAAAGGUAUGCUAAUACGAGAUAAUAUAUUUUAAUCGCACGGUUAAGAUAUCAAAGCUCCGGCGGUACAGGAUGGACCCGCGUCUGAUUAGCUAGUUGGUGAGGUAAUGGCUCACCAAGGCGACGACCAGUAGCCGACCUGAGAGGGUGAUCGGCCACACUGGAACUGAGACACGGUCCAGACUCCUACGGGAGGCAGCAGUGGGGAAUAUUGCACAAUGGGCGAAAGCCUGAUGCAGCAACGCCGCGUGAGCGAUGAAGGCCUUCGGGUCGUAAAGCUUUGUCCUCAAGGAAGAUAAUGACGGUACUUGAGGAGGAAGCCCCGGCUAACUACGUGCCAGCCGCCGCCGUAA